rnacentral:rRNA from 1 species
CAGCCGCCACGGGAAUACGUAGGUGGCAAGCGUUGUCCGGAAUUAUUGGGCGUAAAGCGCGCGCAGGUGGUUUAAUAAGUCUGAUGUGAAAGCCCACGGCUCAACCGUGGAGGAUCAUUGGAAACUGUUAAACUUGAGUGCAGGAGAGAAAAGUGGAAUUCCUAGUGUAGCGGUGAAAUGCGUAGAGAUUAGGAGGAACACCAGUGGCGAAGGCGGCUUUUUGGCCUGUAACUGACACUGAGGCGCGAAAGCGUGGGGAGCAAACAGGAUUAGAUACCCCUGUAGUCCCUGUCUCUUAUAC